rfam:Clostridium sp. 27_14 Ley3_66761_scaffold_2287, whole genome shotgun sequence.
GCGGGUAUAGUUUAGUGGUAGAAUGUUAUGCUUCCGACCUAAUGGCGUGGGUUCGAUUCCCACUACCCGCU